rnacentral:lncRNA from 1 species
AUUGUUGUUAUAACAUACAUUAAAAUGCUAUCUUAGGUGAGACCUGAGACCACUGUCCACUUUGCUUCAUUGAACUGAAUGUGCUGGGAAUUCUAUGUAUAAUGAAUCAUUCCAGAUCUCUUUUACCUGGCACUGACUAAAGAGAUAUGGGUGUUCCUUCCCAGAAGUUUGUUCAGGAGUGAGCCACUGAAGAGCAGAAGACUUUGGAGAUGUCUCAAAAGAAAUUUCUAUAACGACUUCUUGAUUUCUGUAUGCAACAAACAAAUACAUUAGUAGCAUAUAAUUCAAUCUAACUAAAGUUUGGGUUCAUAAUACACAGAGUAUAUACUAUAAAUAAUAUUUUACAAGGUCUCGUGACUGAUGGAGCGCAAGCUCUAGAAUGCUGCCUCCUAACUAGGUCAAGUUUGCCUCUCACGUUCUUACCUGAAUGCCAGCUUCCGGGUCCUUUUCACUCCACCAUGCUAACUGCUUACGAAGAUGUAACAGGAACAGGAACUAAUAUUCGUGGAGUACACUACUGAUUGUCACACACUUGCGCUUGUGGUAUCAUGUAAUCUUUUAUGAUAAUGGGAAAGUGGAAGAAAUAAUUUUGGAACCGUGACUACUCCAGCAGUGGAUGCCACAGCACGACACAGAGUUGUACUGGCCUGCAAACU